CGGGAUGUAGCGCAGCCUGGUAGCGUACUCGUCUGGGGGGCGAGGGGUCGCAAGUUCAAAUCUUGUCAUCCCGACAA
rnacentral:tRNA from 4 species